GAUGAAGAACGUAGCGAAAUGCGAUAAGUAAUGUGAAUUGCAGAAUUCAGUGAAUCAUCGAAUCUUUGAACGCACAUUGCGCCCGCCGGCACUCUGGCGGGCAUGCCUGUUCGAGCGUCAUUUCAACCAUCAAGCCCCCAGGGGCUUGUGCUGGGGCCCUGCGGCUGCCCGCAGGCCCUGAAAACCAGUGGCGGGCUCGCUAGUCACACCGAGCGCAGUAGCACAUCUCGCUCAGGGCGUGCGGCGGGCUCCUGCCGUGAAACCCCCCACUGUAACCCCAAAGGUUGACCUCGGAUCAGGUAGGAAUACCCGCUGAACUUAAGCAUAUCAAUAAGCGGAGGA
rnacentral:misc_RNA from 1 species